rnacentral:rRNA from 1 species
UGGGGAAUAUUGCACAAUGGGCGCAAGCCUGAUGCAGCCAUGCCGCGUGUAUGAAGAAGGCCUUCGGGUUGUAAAGUACUUUCAGCGGGGAGGAAGGGAGUAAAGUUAAUACCUUUGCUCAUUAACGUUACCCGCAGAAGAAGCACCGGCUAACUCCGUGCCAGCAGCCGCGGUAAUACGGAGGGUGCAAGCGUUAAUCGGAAUUACUGGGCGUAAAGCGCACGCAGGCGGUUUGUUAAGUCAGAUGUGAAAUCCUCGGGCUCAACCUGGGAACUGCAUCUGAUACUGGCAAGCUUGAGUCUCGUAGAGGGGGGUAGAAUUCCAGGUGUAGCGGUGAAAUGCGUAGAGAUCUGGAGGAAUACCGGUGGCGAAGGCGGCCCCCUGGACGAAGACUGACGCUCAGGUGCGAAAGCGUGGGGAGCAAACAGG